rnacentral:rRNA from 1 species
UCUCUUGAGAGCGGCGGACGGGUGAGUAAUGCCUAGGAAUCUGCCUGGUAGUGGGGGAUAACGUUCGGAAACGGACGCUAAUACCGCAUACGUCCUACGGGAGAAAGCAGGGNNNCUUCGGGCCUUGCGCUAUCAGAUGAGCCUAGGUCGGAUUAGCUAGUUGGUGGGGUAAUGGCUCACCAAGGCGACGAUCCGUAACUGGUCUGAGAGGAUGAUCAGUCACACUGGAACUGAGACACGGUCCAGACUCCUACGGGAGGCAGCAGUGGGGAAUAUUGGACAAUGGGCGAAAGCCUGAUCCAGCCAUGCCGCGUGUGUGAAGAAGGUCUUCGGAUUGUAAAGCACUUUAAGUUGGGAGGAAGGGCCGUUACCUAAUACGUGAUGGUUUUGACGUUACCGACAGAAUAAGCACCGGCUAACUCUGUGCCAGCAGCCGCGGUAAUACAGAGGGUGCAAGCGUUAAUCGGAAUUACUGGGCGUAAAGCGCGCGUAGGUGGUUUGUUAAGUUGGAUGUGAAAUCCCCGGGCUCAACCUGGGAACUGCAUUCAAAACUGACUGACUAGAGUAUGGUAGAGGGUGGUGGAAUUUCCUGUGUAGCGGUGAAAUGCGUAGAUAUAGGAAGGAACACCAGUGGCGAAGGCGACCACCUGGACUGAUACUGACACUGAGGUGCGAAAGCGUGGGGAGCAAACAGGAUUAGAUACCCUGGUAGUCCACGCCGUANACGAUGUCAACUAGCCGUUGGGAGCCUUGAGCUCUUAGUGGCGCAGCUAACGCAUUAAGUUGACCGCCUGGGGAGUACGGCCGCAAGGUUAAAGCUCAAAUGAAUNNNCGGG